AAAUGGGGGGGUGCUAUACAUGCAGUCGAACGCUUCUUUUUCCACCGGAGCUUGCUCCACCGGAAAAAGAGGAGUGGCGAACGGGUGAGUAACACGUGGGUAACCUGCCCAUCAGAAGGGGAUAACACUUGGAAACAGGUGCUAAUACCGUAUAACAAUCAAAACCGCAUGGUUUUGAUUUGAAAGGCGCUUUCGGGUGUCGCUGAUGGAUGGACCCGCGGUGCAUUAGCUAGUUGGUGAGGUAACGGCUCACCAAGGCCACGAUGCAUAGCCGACCUGAGAGGGUGAUCGGCCACAUUGGGACUGAGACACGGCCCAAACUCCUACGGGAGGCAGCAGUAGGGAAUCUUCGGCAAUGGACGAAAGUCUGACCGAGCAACGCCGCGUGAGUGAAGAAGGUUUUCGGAUCGUAAAACUCUGUUGUUAGAGAAGAACAAGGAUGAGAGUAACUGUUCAUCCCUUGACGGUAUCUAACCAGAAAGCCACGGCUAACUACGUGCCAGCAGCCGCGGUAAUACGUAGGUGGCAAGCGUUGUCCGGAUUUAUUGGGCGUAAAGCGAGCGCAGGCGGUUUCUUAAGUCUGAUGUGAAAGCCCCCGGCUCAACCGGGGAGGGUCAUUGGAAACUGGGAGACUUGAGUGCAGAAGAGGAGAGUGGAAUUCCAUGUGUAGCGGUGAAAUGCGUAGAUAUAUGGAGGAACACCAGUGGCGAAGGCGGCUCUCUGGUCUGUAACUGACGCUGAGGCUCGAAAGCGUGGGGAGCAAACAGGAUUAGAUACCCUGGUAGUCCACGCCGUAAACGAUGAGUGCUAAGUGUUGGAGGGUUUCCGCCCUUCAGUGCUGCAGCUAACGCAUUAAGCACUCCGCCUGGGGAGUACGACCGCAAGGUUGAAACUCAAAGGAAUUGACGGGGGCCCGCACAAGCGGUGGAGCAUGUGGUUUAAUUCGAAGCAACGCGAAGAACCUUACCAGGUCUUGACAUCCUUUGACCACUCUAGAGAUAGAGCUUCCCCUUCGGGGGCAAAGUGACAGGUGGUGCAU
rnacentral:rRNA from 1 species